rnacentral:rRNA from 1 species
CCUACGGGAGGCAGCAGUGGGGAAUUUUGGACAAUGGACGCAAGUCUGAUCCAGCCAUGCCGCGUGCGGGAAGAAGGCCUUCGGGUUGUAAACCGCUUUUGUCAGGGAAGAAACGGGUUUCUCUAAUACAGAGACCUAAUGACGGUACCUGAAGAAUAAGCACCGGCUAACUACGUGCCAGCAGCCGCGGUAAUACGUAGGGUGCAAGCGUUAAUCGGAAUUACUGGGCGUAAAGCGUGCGCAGGCGGUUAUGCAAGACAGAGGUGAAAUCCCCGGGCUCAACCUGGGAACUGCCUUUGUGACUGCAUAGCUAGAGUACGGUAGAGGGGGAUGGAAUUCCGCGUGUAGCAGUGAAAUGCGUAGAUAUGCGGAGGAACACCGAUGGCGAAGGCAAUCCCCUGGACCUGUACUGACGCUCAUGCACGAAAGCGUGGGGAGCAAACAGGAUUAGAUACCCUGGUAGUCCACGCCCUAAACGAUGUCAACUGGUUGUUGGGAGGGUUUCUUCUCAGUAACGAAGCUAACGCGUGAAGUUGACCGCCUGGGGAGUACGGCCGCAAGGUUGAAAACUCAAAGGAAUUGACGG